GAUGAAGAACGUAGCGAAAUGCGAUACUUGGUGUGAAUUGCAGAAUCCCGUGAACCAUCGAGUCUUUGAACGCAAGUUGCGCCCGAAGCCAUUAGGCCGAGGGCACGCCUGCCUGGGCGUCACACGUCGUUGCCCCCCCAUCUACUCCUUCGGGAUUGCGGGGGGCGGAUGAUGGCCUCUCGUGCGCCUCGUCGCGCGGUUGGCCUAAAUGCCAAGUCCUCGGCGACGCACGCCACGACAAUCGGUGGUUGCGAAACCUCGGUUGCCUGUCGUGUGCGGUCGUCGCGCAUCGAGGGCUCGAAAAAAUUGCCGGGCUUCGGCUCGACUUUCAACGCGACCCCAGGUCAGGCGGGGUUACCCGCUGAACUUAAGCAUUUCAAUAAGCGGAGGA
rnacentral:misc_RNA from 1 species